AUUAAGCACAGACCUUCAUACUUAUUAACAACAUUUUCUAGAAAUUUAUUCAGAGAUUUUACAUCAGUGAUUGUUUUUUCAUGACAUUUCAUGGACAAUUUGAGAGCAGAAUUCAUAGCCUUACAGCAUACAUACAGUAUACAUACGGAGUGUGGUUAUAUUUGUUUAAAUUUGCUUAAUUGCACAUGCAAUAUAAUAUCAUCGACGCCUAAGUCACAGUUCGCCGAUUCAGUCAGCGCUCAGCCCCUGGAUUUAUCUAUAUCGUUUAUAGAAGAAAGUCCGCUGGACUGUUCAAUGCAAAAUGUUACACUGAUUGCACUACGUUUAAUGUACCCUGAUGUCAUAUCUAGCUAAUUUCAAAAACUGACUUGUACUUCGAUUUUUG